rnacentral:rRNA from 1 species
UACGUAGGGGGCAAGCGUUGUCCGGAUUUAUUGGGCGUAAAGAGCGUGUAGGCGGCUGGGUAGGUCCGUUGUGAAAACUCGAGGCUCAACCUCGAGACGCCGAUGGAAACCCUCCAGCUAGAGUCCGGAAGAGGAGAUUGGAAUUCCUGGUGUAGCGGUGAAAUGCGCAGAUAUCAGGAAGAACACCCGUGGCUAAGGCGGCUCUCUAGUACGGUACUGACGCUGAGACGCGAAAGCGUGGGGAGCGAACAGG